ensembl:lncRNA
CGCUGCCGAGGCCGGGCCCGGCGCUGUCGCCGCGGCCGCCGCCGGUGGUCGUCCUCCGUCUGCUGCAACGCCUGGAGUCAACACAGCCCUCUCCUUCUCUCGCUGCGUCCGGGUGAACCUGAGAGCGGGUGGCGACAGUGUUUUAGUUACAUGUCCACCAUCGAGAGCAUGUAGUUCAAGCGUGUCACUGUCCAAAGCAUCCAACGCACCACAGCGAGAGGGUCCUACUGUUCAGCUCCUGCUCCUCCCCCGGUGAGGGCUGUCCGCCAGCCCUCAGCCAACCGGGUCUGUGAGGAGGACGAAGACAACACAAACAAACACACCGUGAGGAGGACGAAGACAACACAGACAAACACACCGUGAGGAGGAUGAAGACAACACAGACAAACACCCCGUGAGGAGGCCGAGCGCUGCUGCGUACGCAGUCCGACGGUCGUCUCCACCGAGUCGUGUGUCUGUGAGUACGACGGGCGCGUGUCUGUACCUCAGCCCGAGCAGGAGCGGGCGUUGCCGGCUGCUCCACGUCGCCCUUCGUCGUCGUCGUCUUCCUCCUCUUCUUCUCGGGCUCCGGCGCCAGGGUGGCCUCCCCGCAUGGCGUCUCCUCCACGGAGACGCCACGAGGCUCCACCCUGGUCUGCGCCGGAGCCCGAGCAGGAAGUCCGACCGUCGGCGGAGCAGCCGCAACCUGUGGUGGUGGUGGUGGUGGUGGGGGAGGGGUGGAGGACGGUGCCGGAGGAGGUGGAGACGGAGGCGUCUCCAGCGGGAGCGGGAGGGCCUGAAGGACCUGUACGCCAGCUUCAGACACGGUCACGCACAACCAAACGGCAUCAGCACAAUGAGAGUGACGGGGCAACACACGGGCAAGCGAGACUAAGUGAGUCUGAGCAUUCAUGACGUGCAGCAUGCCGUUGAUUAGAUAAAAUGGUUUAGUGCUACAAGGUGACCGUUAAGAGGUGUGCUACAAGGCGACCGUUAAGAGGUGUGCUACAAGGCGACCGUUAAGAGGUGUGCUACAAGGCGAAUGUUAGUUACAAGGCGAGGUUUGCUAGACUGGGAGUUUAAUCAAAUCCACAUUACCACUACGUGAGUGAGGACGGCGCGUCUACCACCAACAAAGACGGCUACAUCACCUGAUAAACCUACCUUUGUCCUUCAGGCAUCAGCUUUAGCGACCGGCAAAUGAAAAAGUUACAGUUAAUGCAAACACACUGACUCAAGAAUAGAUAUCAGUUGUGGUGUGUAUGUAUGCAUGUGGUGCCAGCUACCCAUUUCCACGUCAGUGACCGUCUGGACCAGCUCCUCGUCCAUCACCUCUGUGGUGGGGGGCGGCGGAACCGAGGGGCGCUGGUCUCUGACGGAAGACACCGCU